ACCUUACCACAUCAUUGAAGAGUAUUGGUGGAUAUCUUGGGCAAAUGUGCAUUAUCUUGGUGGAUAUCUUGGGCAAAUGUGCAACACCGUGAGGGAUAUCUUGGGCAAAUGUGCAAUACCAUGAGGGAUAUAUUGGGUAAAUGUGCAACACCAUGAGGGAUAUCUUGGGCAAAUGUGCAACAUAAUGAGGGAGAUAUUGGGCAAAUGUGCAAUACUAAUGGAUAAAAUGGUAUGAAAGAAAAUGUUGUAAGGUUAGUGGAUAUUUAUAAUAAGGCGUAAAAAAACACCAGUGGUUCUGGUUUCAUAUCGCGAAAAAAUUAGGGACGGUAGGUCGGAAAUAAAUUUUUUUGGAGUAUUUUUUUCAUGGUUUU
rnacentral:lncRNA from 1 species